UACGUAGGGUGCGAGCGUUUGUCCGGAAUUAUUGGGCGUAAAGGGCUCGUAGGCGGUUGUCGCGUCGGGAGUGAAACCUCGGGCUUAACUCGGGGCUUGCUUCGAUACGGGCAGACUAGAGGUAUGCAGGGGAGAACGGAAUUCCUGGUGUAGCGGUGAAAUGCGCAGAUAUCAGGAGGAACACCGGUGGCGAAGGCGGUUCUCUGGCAUGAUCUGACGCUGAGGAGCGAAAGUGUGGGAGCGAACAGG
rnacentral:rRNA from 1 species